CGCUCUCUCAGGUUCUGGCAAUGGCCCUCGGAUUUGGCCAGAAUCUUUUUGGCCGGCACCUCGUGGUGUCCGGCCUUUUUUC
rnacentral:ncRNA from 1 species